AAAAAAAAAAAAAAAACAUGAAAAGCAAUGCAACAAUAUUAGCCAAUAUUAUACAUCUCAAAAUUUUUUUGCCGCGAUCUAUCAAAAUGUUAACCAAUUGAGCACUUGUUGGAUUCAAAAAUUUGACUAUUGAUUGAUUCAUGAAGUACUUCAAAUCUAAUCUGAGGAGAUGCAGGUGGAACUUCAUGGGAAAAAGAUAUAUAUAAGCCAACCAUCACAGCAUUUGACCUAAUUCCCCAGCACAGCUUGGCUUUGAAAAUACAAUCAUCGAGGUUGUCUCUUGGAAAGAGGCAGGAGAGCAAGAAGAAUCUUUUUUCUUGGUCCCUGCAAUUCAAACAUCCUUAAUUAAAAACAGAACAGACAAUACAACAACAACGCCUUAAUCCCAAACUAGUUCGGGUUGGCCUUCACUAAAAACAAUCUAGCAAGAAUUUUAUAACUGCAACAAAUGCAAUAAUAUUCACAUCAAACAUAUUUAAGAAGAAUUAAGAGUUGUGACAUCCUGCCAAUAAGUUACACCACAUGCCUAUAUCUCUUUCUUCAACAAGGAAAAACACAUGAAACUAGAACAUUGGAAAUUUAGUUGACUAAAAGAAAGCCUUUAUUUUGUUAAGGUUGUAAAUUUGAAAUAGUCUUAGUGCCACAAUAAGGCACCAUAACCCUACAGUGUCUCGUUUCAGUCUUCACUUUAGUCAGACAACAUAUGCUCAGAAGAAGAAAAAAAAACCCUAGGGCCAAUUGCUUAAUGUUCAAGUAGUUUGUCUUGUAAUAUAAGAGAUAAAGAGUUCAAAAAAUUUCUGAUACACCGAAAAAGGGAAAAAGGAAGAAGAGAAAUCCACUAAGUAUACUCACUUGAAUAUAUAGUUUAUUGAUACAUCCGAAAAAAGCCAUUAUGAAUGGCUGCAUUAAAUUGAAAAAUCAAACUAAAAUUGAGAACGAUAGACUUCUUGUCAUCACAGAAACUUACCACCUAAAUGGUGAGAUGAAUAAUGAUUUUUUUUUUUAAAUAAAGAAACUAAAUUAAUUCCUUUUAACUUUUCACAGUAUGCUGAUUGCCAAAUUUCUAAGAGUUAGAGCACUGAAGCAAAUAAAUGAAUAUAAAUAAAUUAGAAAAUCAUGCAUGCUUCAAUAAUUUAGUACUCAAGGUUUAAAUUUCAUUAGACAUCAAUAUCUGAGAUGCAGAAGGUUAAAGGUAAUAAAGUAAAUAAGAACUAAAAAGCGAGUUCAACAGUAGAAGUGCAAGCCAACACCAUGCUUUUUU
rnacentral:misc_RNA from 1 species